GUCUAUAUAGACUAUUCCUAUCUAACAACCUCAGUCUAUACAAAUCAUACAUAUCUAACAACCUCAGUCUUUACAGACCAUUCCAAAAAAAUAUUGAAGUGCAACCCCCUCCCCCCCCAGACCAUACAUGUACCUAUUUAAUAUAGUCAGUCCAUGGAGUAAAUAUACAUGGGACAAAAUCGCACAAAAUACAAAGAAAAAAAUACAAAUUAUAUGAAC
rnacentral:lncRNA from 1 species